UGAAGCAGCGAUAUUUGUGCCAUUCACGUUCUGUCUUACUCAAAAUAUCUUCUGCAUCCAGCAGUGCCUCAGAAUAGAACUCCCUUGAAGGAAAGUUUCUAAUCUCAGGAUGCAUUCGGUAUUGCAAUUUCAGCAUAUUGACUGGAUAACCAGCUCUCUGAAGCCUCUCAAACAAACUUGUGCCAUAACCAAACUUCGUAGCAACAGGAGAAAUUACAGUGGCAGGUAGUUGAACUGGAUCACCAACCAGAAAGACUUGUUUACAUCCAUUGGCCAAAGGAACAAGAGUUGCUGGUUCCACAGCUUGGGCAGCUUCAUCUAUUAUAACCACAUCAAAACCAUGAUUCAGUUUACUAAAAAGUGCUGAACCACUGAAGCUGAGUGUGGAGAACACUAUUACAGCUUCUUCCAAAAUAGCAUUUCGAAUACUAUCAAUAUCGCCUCCUGCAGCUCCAUGCUUCUUAUCAGCAGCAAACUCAUCUUGUUUUUGUUUCACGAGGUAAUCC
rnacentral:misc_RNA from 1 species